rnacentral:rRNA from 1 species
UACGUAGGGGGCUAGCGUUGUCCGGAAUCAUUGGGCGUAAAGCGCGUGUAGGCGGUCCGGUAAGUCCGCUGUGAAAGUCAAGGGCUCAACCCUCGAAUGCCGGUGGAUACUGUCGGGCUUGAGUACGGGAGAGGCGAGUGGAAUUCCUGGUGUAGCGGUGAAAUGCGCAGAUAUCAGGAGGAACACCGAUUGCGAAGGCAGCUCGCUGGAACGUUACUGACGCUGAGACGCGAAAGCGUGGGGAGCAAACAGG